rnacentral:rRNA from 1 species
CCUACGGGCGGCAGCAGUGGGGAAUAUUGCGCAAUGGGCGAAAGCCUGACGCAGCGACGCCGCGUGAGGGAUGAAGGUCUUCGGAUCGUAAACCUCUGUCAGCAGGGAAGAACGGUCACUGUGCUAAUCAGAAGGGAAUUGACGGUACCUGCAAAGGAAGCACCGGGUAACUCCGUGCAAGCAGCCGCGGUAAUACGGAGGGUGCGAGCGGUAAUCGGAAUUACUGGGCGGAAAGCGCUCGUAGGCGGUAUGUCAAGUCAAGGGUGAAAGCCCCGGGCUCAACGUGGGAACUGCCUUUGAAACUGGCAAACUUGAGUGUGUGCGAGGAUAGUGGAAUUCCAGGUGUAGGAGUGAAAUCCGUAGAUAUCUGGAGGAACAUCAGUGGCGAAGGCGACUAUCUGGCACAUAACUGACGCUGAGGAGCGAAAGCGUGGGUAGCAAACAGGAUUAGAUACCCCAGUAGUC